rnacentral:rRNA from 1 species
UAGGGAAUCUUCCGCAAUGGGCGAAAGCCUGACGGAGCAACGCCGCGUGAGUGAAGAAGGGUUUCGGUUCGUAAAGCUCUGUUGUUAGGGAAGAAUGAUUGUGUAGUAACUAUACACAGUAGAGACGGUACCUAACCAGAAAGCCACGGCUAACUACGUGCCAGCAGCCGCGGUAAUACGUAGGUGGCAAGCGUUGUCCGGAAUUAUUGGGCGUAAAGCGCGCGCAGGUGGUUUAAUAAGUCUGAUGUGAAAGCCCACGGCUCAACCGUGGAGGGUCAUUGGAAACUGUUAAACUUGAGUGCAGGAGAGAAAAGUGGAAUUCCUAGUGUAGCGGUGAAAUGCGUAGAGAUUAGGAGGAACACCAGUGGCGAAGGCGACUUUUUGGCCUGUAACUGACACUGAGGCGCGAAAGCGUGGGGAGCAAACAGGAUUAGAUACCCUGGUAGUCCACGCCGUAAACGAUGAGUGCUAAGUGUUGGUCUCAUAAGAGAUCAGUGCUGCAGCUAACGCAUUAAGCACUCCGCCUGGGGAGUACGACCGCAAGGUUUG